rnacentral:rRNA from 1 species
AUUCGCGGCCUAUCAGCUUGUUGGUGAGGUAAUGGCUCACCAAGGCGUCGACGGGUAGCCGGCCUGAGAGGGUGACCGGCCACACUGGGACUGAGACACGGCCCAGACUCCUACGGGAGGCAGCAGUGGGGAAUAUUGCACAAUGGGCGCAAGCCUGAUGCAGCAACGCCGCGUGAGGGACGACGGCCUUCGGGUUGUAAACCUCUUUUAGCAGGGAAGAAGCGAAAGUGACGGUACCUGCAGAAAAAGCACCGGCUAACUACGUGCCAGCAGCCGCGGUAAUACGUAGGGUGCAAGCGUUAUCCGGAAUUAUUGGGCGUAAAGAGCUCGUAGGCGGUUUGUCGCGUCUGCUGUGAAAACCCGAGGCUCAACCUCGGGCCUGCAGUGGGUACGGGCAGACUAGAGUGCGGUAGGGGAGAUUGGAAUUCCUGGUGUAGCGGUGGAAUGCGCAGAUAUCAGGAGGAGCACCGAUGGCGAAGGCAGAUCUCUGGGCCGUAACUGACGCUGAGGAGCGAAAGGGUGGGGAGCAAACAGGCUUAGAUACCCUGGUAGUCCACCCCGUAAACGUUGGGAACUAGUUGUGGGGUCCAUUCCACGGAUUCCGUGACGCAGCUAACGCAUUAAGUUCCCCGCCUGGGGAGUACGGAAU